rnacentral:tRNA from 1 species
GCCUCCGUGGCGCAAUCGGCUAGCGCGUUCGGCUGUUAACCGAAAGGUUGUAGGUUCGAGCCAUCCCGGGGGCG